CUAAGGUGGCCCGGUCGCUGACAACUCAGUGAUCGGGUUUAGUAGCCCGAGGG
rfam:Pseudomonas sp. 1 R 17 genome assembly PSEFL294_LIB5394, contig: PSEFL294_LIB5394_000042